GACGAACGCUGGCGGCGUGCUUAACACAUGCAAGUCGAACGGAAAGGCCCUGCUUUUGUGGGGUGCUCGAGUGGCGAACGGGUGAGUAACACGUGAGUAACCUGCCCUUGACUUUGGGAUAACUUCAGGAAACUGGGGCUAAUACCGGAUAGGAGCUCCUGCUGCAUGGUGGGGGUUGGAAAGUUUCGGCGGUGGGGGCUGGACUCGCGGCUUAUCAGCUUGUUGGUGGGGUAGUGGCUUACCAAGGCUUUGACGGGUAGCCGGCCUGAGAGGGUGACCGGCCACCUUGGGACUGAGAUACGGCCCAGACUCCUACGGGAGGCAGCAGUGGGGAAUAUUGCACAAUGGGCGGACGCCUGAUGCAGCAACGCCGCGUGCGGGAUGACGGCCUUCGGGUUGUAAACCGCUUUCGCCUGUGACGAAGCGUGAGUGACGGUAAUGGGUAAAGAAGCACCGGCUAACUACGUG
rnacentral:rRNA from 1 species